UCCUUAAAAUAAUUCAAUUACAAAUCAAAACAAUCAAAUCUGAUAGAUUAGAAACAAAAACAACCCAAAAUUUCUCAGCCACAGACAAAGUGAUCAAUAACAAUAAGUAGGAAAUAAAAGGUAACAAAAACCAAAUCAAACCCCAAACACCAACAAUAACCAUCAAGAUCCAAACCCCAACCAUCUGAAAUUUGUGUGGAUAAAUGAGAAUUUGGGUUUUGGUGUGAUGAUUUUUGGUUAACGUGGGGAUUUCCAAAGGCACAGGAACAAGACCGCCAUCGUGGUCUUAGCCGCGUUACUGCCACUUCUUCGCUCGCUCCGAACGGAUUCCAGUCGGGCUCAAAAUGACUCAACACAAGCUCUUACCACCUCACAUUUGUCCAGAGCAAUCAGGCCAAGCUCAUCAAGUUCGGGGUAAUCUUUGUUUUAAGUGUGCAGUGCAGACGUGCAGCUCUUCUCCUUCUUCUCUUUUGUUUUUGUUUAAUGAUUAGAAACACCAUUUAGGGUUCUAUUGAAGAACCAACAAAGUUGAAGAAACUUGUAGAUUUUUAUUUUUUUUUUAGUUUGUUCUUCAAAUAAAAGAAUGUAGCAGUGGAAUUAUAAUGGCUCUUGAAAGAUUUUUUGGAUAAUUUCUCUAGAACAAAGUUGUAGAAAUUUUUAAUGGUGACUUUUGGCUUUUGGCUUCUGGCUUCGUUCUAAUGAAGAACGAACGAAGGAAUGAAUUGAUGCUUUUAGAUUGUUUAAUUUUUUUUUUCCUUUAUGUUAUACUAAAAUGAUUUUUAUUUGAUUGAAAUAUAUUUUGUUUAAUUUGAUUGAAUAUGAUAGGAAUGUUGAAUUAUUCUUUUGCCCCU
rnacentral:lncRNA from 1 species